rnacentral:rRNA from 1 species
UGGGGAAUUUUGGACAAUGGGGGAAACCCUGAUCCAGCCAUCCCGCGUGUGCGAUGAAGGCCUUCGGGUUGUAAAGCACUUUUGGCAGGAAAGAAACGUCAUGGGUUAAUACCCCGUGAAACUGACGGUACCUGCAGAAUAAGCACCGGCUAACUACGUGCCAGCAGCCGCGCUAAUACGUAGGGUGCAAGCGUUAAUCGGAAUUACUGGGCGUAAAGCGUGCGCAGGCGGUUCGGAAAGAAAGAUGUGAAAUCCCAGAGCUCAACUUUGGAACUGCAUUUUUAACUACCGGGCUAGAGUGUGUCAGAGGGAGGUGGAAUUCCGCGUGUAGCAGUGAAAUGCGUAGAUAUGCGGAGGAACACCGAUGGCGAAGGCAGCCUCCUGGGAUAACACUGACGCUCAUGCACGAAAGCGUGGGGAGCAAACAGG